GACGAACGCUGGCGGCGUGCUUAACACAUGCAAGUCGAACGGAAAGGCCCUGCUUUUGUGGGGUGCUCGAGUGGCGAACGGGUGAGUAACACGUGAGUAGCCUGCCCUUGACUUUGGGAUAACUUCAGGAAGCUGGGGCUAAUACCGGAUAGGAGCUCCUGCUGCAUGGUGGGGGUUGGAAAGUUUCGGCGGUUGGGGAUGGACUCGCGGCUUAUCAGCUUGUUGGUGGGGUAGUGGCUUACCAAGGCUUUGACGGGUAGCCGGCCUGAGAGGGUGACCGGCCACAUUGGGACUGAGAUACGGCCCAGACUCCUACGGGAGGCAGCAGUGGGGAAUAUUGCACAAUGGGCGGAAGCCUAAUGCAGCAACGCCGCGUGCGGGAUGACGGCCUUCGGGUUGUAAACCGCUUUCGCCUGUGACGAAGCGUGAGUGACGGUAAUGGGUAAAGAAGCACCGGCUAACUACGUG
rnacentral:rRNA from 1 species